AACGAACGCUGGCGGCAUGCCUAACACAUGCAAGUCGAACGAGACCUUCGGGUCUAGUGGCGCACGGGUGCGUAACGCGUGGGAAUCUGCCCUUGGGUUCGGAAUAACAGUGAGAAAUUACUGCUAAUACCGGAUGAUGUCUUCGGACCAAAGAUUUAUCGCCCAGGGAUGAGCCCGCGUAGGAUUAGCUAGUUGGUGGGGUAAUGGCCUACCAAGGCGACGAUCCUUAGCUGGUCUGAGAGGAUGAUCAGCCACACUGGGACUGAGACACGGUCCAGACUCCUACGGGAGGCAGCAGUGGGGAAUAUUGGACAAUGGGCGCAAGCCUGAUCCAGCAAUGCCGCGUGAGUGAUGAAGGCCUUAGGGUUGUAAAGCUCUUUUACCCGGGAUGAUAAUGACAGUACCGGGAGAAUAAGCUCCGGCUAACUCCGUG
rnacentral:rRNA from 1 species